GAGGUGGGGGCUAGGACAGGGGAGGUCUCUGUGGACUCUGUCCCAAAAAUGGGGUGACGUGUGUGCUCGAGGACAGCAGAGGAUGGCAGGACUGUUUAAGUGUGGAUGUGUGUCUCAGGGCAAGUUAAUACACACGGGACAGUGUGCCCCUGUGACGAGGGAGUGUUUGCCUGUAUCCGAGGGUGUAUGUGACUUGACUGUGUGUGUGUGUUUGUGUUUGUCUCUGGUGCCAUGUUGGUGGCAGUGAGGUUGAAAAAGCAUAAGGCAGCCGGCCCCAAGGAAUGGCUGGCCUAUAAAUGGACGUCCAGUGGGGCUGAGAGGCAGCAGUGACUGGAAUCAGGCUCUAUUCCUCUAUGGAUGGGUUGACCGAAAAAGACUGCGAGACUGUUUUUCCUGGGUUCCAUGGCAGAGGUGAAGGAGGAAGAAGUGAGGCUUAGGAAGCAGGCUGUGUGUAAGUCUGUCUCUGGGUCAGGCUGGGCCAGUGGGAGUGGGGAGGCUCCUAGCAUCCUAUGGAGCAGACGCCAGGGUCAUCUGCUCCAAGAUCCAGAGGGACUCUGACUUUUGGGGUUGGUGGAUGGAGAGGUUGGGGAGCAGGGGAGUGUGUGCUUGGCUGCAACCCUCCUCAAAGGACCCUGCUGGCAAGGCCUGACCCAGGUUGGGGUGGGGGGCCGCUCCGGCCUACCUGCCCAGUCAAAGCCAAGAGUCAGAGCUGUGGCCUGCUGAUUCUGCUGUGCCUGCCCUUCGCCCUACCAUGGGCUCCACACCACCCCCAGGACAGCCCAGGACCAGUCUUGGGGAAUAAGAGCCCUGGCAGUGCUCAGCCAGAGGGCAGUGGUCCUGCUUCCUCCCUCUCCCCCAGCCCCGUCUCCUUCUGCUCAGCACUUCCACACACAACCGGCUGCAGCUAUUAGCUCUGCAUCUCUGAUGAGGACAUUUGCAUAUAUAACGAAGAACCUUCACAGGUGUUGGAGAAACAGCUCCUCCUCUCAUUUCCCUCUCCUCUCCUGCCAGCUGCCACCCUGACCUGUGGCUUUGGGGGUGUGGGAUCCCUGCCCACUCAGCUGGGAGAUGUGCUGAGGAGUCCUGGGUGCAGGAAGUUGCGGUGGUUCCUGCCCCUGGGUCGGAAACAGGCAAGGUGAAAGCCCAUUGUGUCAGUGUGCUGGGACAGACCCAACUAUACGUGUACGUGUGUGAACAUCAGCCUGUGCACAAGCACAGAAAGAAGGUCAAGGUCAACAUGCCGUCCCUGCCCAAGUGCUCUGCAGCUCCUGGUAACGUACGCAGGUCAGUGUGAGUAUGCAAAACACGUCCCAGGCUGCACCCACACUCUGUGCCAUGCACGCACUGCCAGCACAUGCUCCUUCACACUCACGCCCUGGCACCAGCGCAGGCAAUUAGAGAAAAAUGCACCUGCACCGACACUUCCUCUCUCCAAACAGAGCCCCUCCCUCCCUCCCUCCUCUCCUUUCUCCCAUCAACCCUGACCACAGUGUUUCUCAUGGAGUCACCAGUCCCUAUUCAGGCUGGAAAAUGACUCCCUCAGCCCCACACACUUAUUCAGACCCAUUAAGCACACAAGAGGCCAUAUUCUUUAAAAAAAAAAAAAAAAUGAGUAAGAGGAGCCCUUGUACCCUAGAUAAGUGGCAUUGAAGGGGGAGAGAAAAUGCCACAGCCAGGGUGGCUGGUAGGGCUGCGGGCUGGGAACUAGGGGAAGGUGGAGGGUGUCUAGGGAGGAGCAGAGACAGGGCUAAAGUGUCUACAAGGUCCUUCUCAGGUUAUCCCCUCCAGCCCUCUCCGACUCUCCCCGACUGCAGACCAGCCAAUGCCCAACCCCACGGCCUCCCCCCGCCCUCCUGUUGGUCCGGCUGAGUCACGUGACCCUCUCCCUCUCUGACAGCUGCCCCUGAUGAUGGAUGCGGCGGCUCAGCUGUACCUGUUGGGGGACAGGGACUGCACAGAUCCUAAUUACCUCCUUCUCCAGCCGGGGCUGGGGGCUGGGCUGGACGAUGGCUCCGGCCUUGCUCCACGGGGGCUGAGGCUGGCAUCCUGAGCUGGGGCCAGGCCUAGAGGAAGGCAUUCCUUGGACUCCUCUGGGGUGAUGGGGAUGUGGGGGCACCGGCCUGGGGUGUAGAUGGGGGGAGCGCUUCUGGAAGGCUGGUAGAGGGAACGGAAGCACAUCACAGCUACUACAUCAGGGGCCUGGGGAGCUGGAUAGGACCUUGAAUAAAUGACCUUUCUCCAAGUCCUUCCCACUGGGCGUGAGAUUCAGGUUAAAUGUGGAGGAGAGCUUCCUGGCAGCAGGGACGAGAUACACUUGAGCAAAAGACAGCAGUGCGGAGGCAGAGGUUUGGAAGACUUCUCCGAAGCCGAAUCGGAUCAUCCCUUUCCUGCCCGGUGGGAGGCUCACAGCAGACAGCCGCAGAAGAAGUAGGCUGGAGUUAGGGCAGCAGGACCUGAGGGAGGACUUGCAAUGGCUUCUCGGAGGGGUGGCGCUGGGGGACCUGGACUGGAUGUUCUAGUAGGUUGUCAGAGCUCAGCAUGGGAGGCUCUACAUCUGGGCUGGCUUGGGGAGGGACCGGAAGACCUCAGGACCGUUAAGAUGUCAGAAUCCUCCAGGCUUCUCCACAGGGGCCCCAGAGUCUUAGGGGGCAGACACACGCCUCAAUGAUUCGCCAGUGCAGUAGAUGCCUGGUGGCUGAGUGCCCAGGCUGGAGGGGGGCAAAUGGGGGCUAUGGAGGGAAUGGACCUCUACGAGAUUUGUUCUGACUCCGAGGUCCUAUAAAUCCCCAAGUUAGGAUUCUCCAUGGGUUUCAAGAAGGGAAACCAGCGAGGAGUGAGCAGAGAGCUGGUGAAUUGCCCCAGGACUCCUGGCCACUAGGCCCCUUUCCCUGGGUCGGUGGGUGUGAUGGAGUGGCUGUGAUAAUUGCUAAUCACUAUUAAUUGAUACUGGAGGUCACAGUAAUGACAGCCCCACCAGGAUUCAUAGUCACAGUCCCCCCAUCUUUGAGGUUUCUCUGCUGAGGGAAGACAGGGAGGGGUGGCCUAAGCCCCUUGGCACCCCGGGUCCCAAAGGAGGACAAAAUGAGACAGCGGUCCAGGUAAGGCAGGUCUCCCCUCACCUCGGGCAGUGCUGUGGUGAGCAGGAAGGCGAGGGGCAGGCGGGCUCCUAAUGCCCCCAGUGCCCCCUCUUCUGAGUGGCUCCCCUCUCUCUACUUCUCUCUCUCCAGGGCAUUUUCCCCUCCUCUCUGAGUUUACAUGGGUCCCUGUUGGUUGAACUGUCCUCACCAGCAGCGUCACCCUGUCCUCCCAGCUGCCUCUCACUGCCCUUCUGAGCUCCUGGGCUGCUGGGUGGUCAGCCCUCUCCUUGCCCCGCUCCCCGUUUCAUGACGCCUGAGUGUCCGUCACUGCUGGCAUGAGAUUUGGGGGAAGUGUCAGGUGAGGAGGUGCCCACUCUGCUCCCGGGUGAACAUCUCUGCUUCUGGGAGAAUGUCUUCAUGUGCCUGCUGGGGUGCAGGCCCGCAGACUGUCUGGGGGAGGUGGCCACGCUCCUGCCCAUUCUGGUUGGUAAUAAGAGGGAGACAGAAGGGGUGGGCAGCUGGCCAUCCAUCAUCCGCCCCUGGAGCAGACCAGGGUGGUUUUGUGAAACCAGGCUUUCCUGAUCUUAGCAUCACACUUAUGUGUGCACACAUGCACAAAUGCACCCCCCCUAGAGACAGCACACUGAGACUCACACUGACAUGCUUGGUACCGCGGGUUUUCUCCCAGACAGUCCGCCCUGGGAGCUGCUUCCAGGGUAAAUUUCCUAAUAGACCUUUUAGCACAGGUCCCCCUCCUACCCUGGGUGCAAACCUUCCAUGAGUCCCCGGUGCCCGUGGGGUGGGGCUCAGACCCCCUAGCCUAGCAUCCAAGGCCUUCUCUGACCUGGUCCCAAUGUGACUUCCCAGCCUGGUCUCCUGUGAUCCUCCCACAGGAGUGUCUUCCUAAAGAAGACAGAUUGUGUGCACUGACAUUUCCUUCCCAGCAGGGUCACCCGGGGAUGUGCCAGCUCCCCCUCACAUCUCUACUGAGUUAGGCCCGCCUCCUCCAGGAGGCCCUUUUGACUGCCUCAGCUUACAGCAACUUCCUCCUUAGCUCGGACCUCGACACGUCAUCGGUGUGUGUGAAUAGCUGAGAAUCUGGCUGUUCUCAGGGGAAGAGCAUUCAUCUGAAUUGGAUCAAGUCCCUCCUCUGGCUCUUCCUGGCUGUGUGACUCUGAGCAAGCAGCUCACCUUCUCUGGGCAUCAGUUUCCCAAUGCUAUCGUGAGGAGUUUUGGCUUCACUACUCUAAGAUUCUGUGUUUCUGUGGGGAUGAGGAUGGAGACAGACAGGCUCAGGUAGAUCCACAGAUAGCCUCUUUCAACAUGGAGGGCAGGAAGGCUGGGGGCGGUCACUAGAUCAACAGAAAUUAAACUCAAGAGUUCUUGACCCAGGAGAAAGCAGACUGAUGUCAGGUCGAGACAGAUCCAUGAGGUCUUGGACUACUUUUUCUUCUUGUGCUCUCGGUUUAUUCAUAUGAAAAAUAGGUCCGUGUUCCAGGCUCCUUUGGGGCAUUAGAGGAGAGGAAGUAGGUGGAAGCUGAAUUCAUGCGCACAGUACGUAUAGGACUCAGUUAUUGGGGAGCUGUGUGUCUGGGUCCCCUUCCCUUCCCAUUUCUCCUGGUGCAGGCUCUGUUCUGUUUUUGCUCUCCUUGAUUAUUGCCCGGGAGAACCCAUACUCACCUCUCCUCUAGUCAGCCAGGGGCUUGGCAUCAGGCCUUGGUGGGGUCCCUGGUCCGCGGCCUGCUGGGAGGGUCUGGGUUGCAGAACUCCCCAGUGAGCUUCCAGUUAGCGCCUCGGGUGGAGUCUCCUGUGCAAACGCUGCUAUGCAGGCGUCCUGAGAUUUCCCACCACUCUGGUUCCCAUAUCCCCAGCUCCCCUGCCUCCAGGACAUCCUGCCCCCAUCUGACCUCUGGGAUCUCUCCCAGCCCGAGACAUGUCCCCCUUGCCUCAUCACCCUUCCCUGGGAAUACUGAGGCUGGAAUUGUCCGUAGCAGCCUGGAAGAUUCCUCAGAAAUGUGAGGGAGGGGAAGGGAGCUUGAGUGAGGGGAGCCCCAUCCUAUACAUUCCGGCCCCUGGCUCCCCUUUGCUUCCCACGUCACCCCUGGGAGAGGGGUGGAAGCAGGCAGCAGAGUGCACCCCCAAAUUCCUUUGCCUCAGCCUCCACAAGAUCUUAGAGGCAGGGAACUUUCUUUGCAGGGAGCUGAGGGUACCCCAGGGUCCUGCUUCCCACUCUGAUCUCCAAGGGCCAUGGUGCAUCCAGACUCCGGCGGAGUGGCCGCUCUGUUUACAGUGUGGGAGGUUUGUUCCAACUGACGCCUCUUAGCCCAGGGCUCUGGAGGGAAGGGGCGUCGGACCGUGGGAAAGUGGAAGGAGAGGAACCAAGCCCGGCUUUGGAAGGAGGACCUGGCCUCUGCUUUCGGGAGGCCCAGAGACGGAGGAGGGCUCGGCGAAGUCACACAGCACUUGCCUCUCACCAGGGGCUGUCCUGGCCUGGCUUUCUCUUGCUCGUAGUUUCCCAGCCACUUUUGAUCUGAUUUUUAAAAAUAUACAUUCUCUACUCUCCACCAUCUCUCCUGCUUUCUCCAACCAUUCUCCCCCCUAAAUAAUUAUGUAUGAACUUUGACCCCGGGAAUCCGCUUGGGGGGAGCAUUUUGGGAAAACAUGAUAGAGCCUCAUAAAGAACUCCAACAGCUUGCAAACAGCCUGUGCUAAAUUGCCCCUUCAAGUGAAAAUUAAAGCAAAUGUCUGUUUUA